CUUACAAAUACUUCGUUUACUUCAAGCCAUCCACCACUCCCAAGAAAAACAAUUCUGCCGGUUACGGUUUGCCACGAACAGAGCUUCAAAGUUCAACAGUAGAGGUAUCAUGUGCCCCAAAGUAAGGACAAUGAGCAUCACAAUAGAAAUGAGGGGAAGUACAUCAGGGUGCCUUUUCACAUAAAAAAGCUGCAACCCCACAAAGACACAUGCAAAUGUAUUAGAAAUCAGAACCAAUGUGAUCUCCAGAUCCAUUCUCCAAAUGGAUUCUGCUGCUUGGCUCAAGUAGAUAGAACUUGAAGACAAUUCAAGACGCUGAAAAUAAAGCUGGUCUGACUUUCCUCGUGUGCUUUCAAUUGUUCCCUUGACACUAUGUCCACCUGCAUUCAAUGGAGCGAAUUGCACAUUGACAAGAAUUUUGCAGUCCAGUGAAUCAUUUUUUGUUGAUGGUUUAUUUGAUUGCAGAUGCUGACACCCUACCAUACACAGGACACCGGUUUCCUUAUCAUAUAUCCCUUCUGCUGAUAUUUCUACCGAUCUAGAUGAAGAAAUCUUACCCACCAACAUGAGACUAGUUGAAGGUGUGAAGCUCAGCUUGUAGCUGAUAUUUACCACACUGUUGUGGCUGGUGCUCACUAGAGCUUCAGACCCUCCCAACCUUGGUGAAUGAGGGCGAAAUUUCCCAUAUAAUUGAUCACCCACAAACUUAUCACCCACAAAUAGAGGGAAUGCAUGACCCCAUCCUACUUGCCCCUUGCUGUUUCUAACUGACAUGUCAAAUCUCAUGUCUAACGAAUGCCCGUCAGGGUAUACCUGUCCCUUGUGUUUAACCCCCUUUUUCUUUGCACAAGCUUUACUUAUGCUGUCAGCCUCA
rnacentral:lncRNA from 1 species